rnacentral:rRNA from 1 species
AUUGAACGCUGGCGGCAGGCCUAACACAUGCAAGUCGAGCGGAUGAAGGGAGCUUGCUCCUGGAUUCAGCGGCGGACGGGUGAGUAAUGCCUAGGAAUCUGCCUGGUAGUGGGGGAUAACGUCCGGAAACGGGCGCUAAUACCGCAUACGUCCUGAGGGAGCAAGUGGGGGAUCUUCGGACCUCACGCUAUCAGAUGAGCCUAGGUCGGAUUAGCUAGUUGGUGUGGUAAAGGCCUACCAAGGCGACGAUCCGUAACUGGUCUGAGAGGAUGAUCAGUCACACUGGAACUGAGACACGGUCCAGACUCCUACGGGAGGCAGCAGUGGGGAAUAUUGGACAAUGGGCGAAAGCCUGAUCCAGCCAUGCCGCGUGUGUGAAGAAGGUCUUCGGAUUGUAAAGCACUUUAAGUUGGGAGGAAGGGCAGUAAGUUAAUACCUUGCUGUUUUGACGUUACCAACAGAAUAAGCACCGGCUAACUUCGUG